GUACCCUCAAGCUCUGCUUGGUGUUGGGUGUUUGUCCACUCCGCCGUGUGUGGACUCGCCUUAAAGCAAUUGGCAGCCAGUGUUUUGGUAUUGAAGCGCAGCACAUUUUGCGAGUCAUGCCUGUAAUGCUGGCGUCCAGUAAGCCUUUUUCCAC
rnacentral:misc_RNA from 1 species